rnacentral:tRNA from 1 species
AUGCUGUACACAGUGGUAGAGUGCUUGCCUAACAUGCAUGAAGUCCUGGGUUCAAAUCCCUGACACUAUA